GCGUUUCCCGCGCAGCCGCUGCCGCCGCUUCCUCCGGAGCUAGCUGGGCCUGCGGCCUUGGCUCCGGCUAUGUGAAGCGGGGCACCAGAAGAAAGGGAAAAAAGCCCGACGGGGUGCUGCUGAAGGACGCCCUGAAGCUCUGGGUGAACCAGUGGAACAGCGGCUCUUUCAUCCUAGGGCGGUGCUGCGGGCACGGCGAGGGGGGCGGUGGCCUCAGCGGUGGCCUGUUGGGUGCUCUGGAGGCAGUGCUGGAUUCCACCACUGAGGUUGCUCCCUUUCGAGUUCUGCUUCAAGUUCCCGGCUCACAGGUGUACUGUCCCAUAGCAUGUGGAGAGUUCCUGGAUGGAUGCGACGUUCACUGGGCCAUAGCCACUGGUACCACAUUAGAGGAAAUCAACCAGCACUGGAACUGGCUGGGACAGAAUCUCCUCCAUACUCUGUGUUUGAUUAUAAAGACGACAUGGCCAGCUUUGUCAAGGGGAAGGUGAAGGUAGGCCCUUUGAUCUCGACCUUUCUCACCAUCUCAGGUGACUCUUCAUGACAUUUUGAACUCUGCCACGUACCCACAGUCUUCACCAGUCCGA